rnacentral:ncRNA from 1 species
CGGGAGAGAUCCCGCUGGGAUGUGGCCAUUUUGGCUGAACCGUAAA